rnacentral:rRNA from 1 species
UACAGAGGGGGCAAGCGUUAUUCGGAAUUAUUGGGCGUAAAGGGCGCGUAGGCGGCCUGGCAAGUGGAAGGUGAAAUCCCUCGGCUUAACCGAGGAACUGCCCUCCAAACUGCUUGGCUUGAGUCCGGGAGAGGUGAGUGGAAUUCCCAGUGUAGCGGUGAAAUGCGUAGAUACUGGGAGGAACACCGGUGGCGAAGGCGGCUACCUGGACCGGAACUGACGCUGAGGCGCGAAAGCGUGGGUAGCAAACAGG